rnacentral:rRNA from 1 species
UCGUCAGCUCGUGUCGUGAGAUGUUGGGUUAAGUCCCGCAACGAGCGCAACCCUUGCCUUUAGUUGCCAGCAUUAAGUUGGGCACUCUAGAGGGACUGCCGAGGAUAACUCGGAGGAAGGUGGGGAUGACGUCAAAUCAUCAUGCCCCUUAUGCUUAGGGCUACACACGUGCUACAAUGGGUGGUACAGAGGGUUGCCAAACCGUGAGGUGGAGCUAAUCCCUUAAAGCCAUUCUAAGUUCGGAUUGUAGGCUGAAACUCGCCUACAUGAAGCUGGAGUUACUAGUAAUCGCAGAUCAGAAUGCUGCGGUGAAUGCGUUCCCGGGUCUUGUACACACCGCCCGUCACACCAUGGGAGUUGGGGGCGCCCGAAGCCGGUUAGCUAACCUUUUAGGAGGCAACCGUCGAAGGUGAAACCAAUGACUGGGGUGAAGUCGUAACAAGGUAGCCGUA